GGCGGAUGUAAGCGAUGCAGGCUGCAUCCUCGCCGAUGACGUGCACGUGCGGGUUCAGGAUAGUGGUGUGGAUCGGCUUGCUGUUCUUGGCCAGCACUGAGGACAAGCAUGUCUUCUGAACUGACAGCACCAGGAGUCCCUCAGCAUACGGCAAAAGUGGUUGGAAGUAAGAUAACAGCACUGUUUGGAUUCAAGCAUGCCACGAUUCCACCUUUCACUGUGCGUGCUGAGCUGGAAGCCACUGAAGGCACAGGACGCCCUCCAAGGAGAGGUAACCUGGCCCCAAAGAAGCCAGAGGCUAGGCUGCAAGUGACUGACCUUUGAGAGGUACGUGACAGGUAGGUGGAGGACGGGAUGAGAGGGAGGAGGGAUAGUCAUAUGGAAGCACUGUUUUGGCCCAUGUGGGUAGAUCAGGCCAGCGGGGUUUCCUUCUUUGACCUCCCCUGCCUCGAAUGGUGAGGUAAAUGGUGUUCAGGGAUAGGGUACAUCAAGA